rnacentral:lncRNA from 1 species
CUCUUUCUGUCCUCUGGAAGUGAUGAAAAGAUCACAUGAUGAGUAGGCUCGGCGACCCAGGACCCUCGUAAGUCGGAGAAGGCAUCGGACACAUCUUCCCACAUACACAACCCCCAUGCUGGAUCUGCUGCACUCCAAAGCAUGUGAGUGACAACAGGCUUGGCAGCCCUUGGGGUGGUGAAAGAUCUGGCUAGAGCAAGCCUCCCCAGCAUGCUCAUCAGCCUUAAGCAAUCAUGUCUGUGAUCAUGCUGCUGAAAUAAGGAGAUUCUGAAAGACCAGCAGACUGAGAGACAGCUGAGAUGGAGCCAUGGCUAUUUGUCUCUAGGACUUUGUGCCCGAAGUUUCCUUUGUUUCAUGGACUAUCUGUGGACUCCAAGCUUUCUUAGGAGGGGAAAAGAAGAUACAGGAGAAGUCUGAGAAUUCUGUC